rnacentral:rRNA from 1 species
UACGAAGGGUGCAAGCGUUACUCGGAAUUACUGGGCGUAAAGCGUGCGUAGGUGGUUUGUUAAGUCUGUUGUGAAAGCCCCGGGCUCAACCUGGGAAUGGCAAUGGAUACUGGCAAGCUAGAGUGCGGUAGAGGGUAGUGGAAUUCCCGGUGUAGCGGUGAAAUGCGUAGAGAUCGGGAGGAACACCAGUGGCGAAGGCGGCUACCUGGACCAGCACUGACACUGAGGCACGAAAGCGUGGGGAGCGAACCGG